CUUAGUUAACAUUAAGCUAGUGUUAGGAACAUAAAUUGUGACUAAGGUUUGGUGGAAGAUUUUAAUUCAAAACUUAUAAAAACAAGACAUAUGUAUACAGAGCCAGAGCCGGUUUCAGCUGGGCUGGUAAUGAAAUGGUUAAAGUGAGAGAGAGAGACAGAGACAGAGAGAGAGGAGGAG